rnacentral:rRNA from 1 species
UACGAAGGGGGCUAGCGUUGUUCGGAAUUACUGGGCGUAAAGGGCGCGUAGGCGGCUUCGAUAGUCGGGUGUGAAAUGCCUGGGCUCAACCCAGGAACUGCACUCGAAACUCCGAGGCUAGAGUGUGGGAGAGGAUAGUGGAAUUCCCAGUGUAGAGGUGAAAUUCGUAGAUAUGGGGAGGAACACCGGUGGCGAAGGCGGCCAUCUGGACGGAUACUGACGCUGAGACGCGAAAGCGUGGGGAGCAAACAGG